CCUACGGGAGGCAGCAGUGGGGAAUAUUGCACAAUGGGGGAAACCCUGAUGCAGCGACGCCGCGUGAGUGAAGAAGUAUUUCGGUGUGGAAAGCUCUAUCUGCAGGGAAGAUAAUGACGGUACCUGACUAAGAAGCCCCGGCUAAAUACGUGCCAGCAGCCGCGGGAAUACGUCGGGGGCACGCGUUAUCCGGAGUUACUGGGUGUAAAGGGGGCGUAGGUGGCAGGGCAAGUCAGAUGUGAAAGCCCGGGGAUCAACCCCGGUAUUGCAUUUGACACGGACUAGCUGGAGUGCAGGAGAGGUACGCGGAAUGCGUAGUGUAGCGGUGAAAUGCGUAGAUAUUAGGAGGAACACCAGUGGCGAAGGCGGCUUACUGGACUGUAACUGACACUGAGGCACGAAAGCGUGGGGAGCAAACAGGAUUAGAUACCCGAGUAGUC
rnacentral:rRNA from 1 species